rnacentral:rRNA from 1 species
GCCAGACUCCUACGGGAGGCAGCAGUGGGGAAUAUUGCACAAUGGGGGGAACCCUGAUGCAGCGACGCCGCGUGAAGGAAGAAGUAUUUCGGUAUGUAAACUUCUAUCAGCAGGGAAGAAAAAGGACGGUACCUGACUAAGAAGCCCCGGCUAACUACGUGCCAGCAGCCGCGGUAAUACGUAGGGGGCGAGCGUUAUCCGGAUUUACUGGGUGUAAAGGGGGCGCAGACGGCCAUGGCAAGCCCGGUGUGAAAGGUGCGGGCACAACCCGCAGACUGCACUGGUAACUGCCUGGCUGGAGUGCCGGAGGGGUAAGCGGAAUUCCUGGUGUAGCGGUGAAAUGCAUAGAUAUCACGCAGAACUCCGAUUGCGAAGGCAGCGCACCGGCGCCCUACUGACGCUCAGGCACGAAAGCGUGGGUAUCGAACAGGAUUAGAUACCCGGGUAAA